AGACAUAUGGUGCAAGCGUUACUCGGAAUCACUAGGCGUAAAGCGUAUGUAGGCGGAUACUUAAGUCCGUUGUGAAAUCUCCCGGCUUAACUGGGAGAGGUCGACGGAUACUGGGUGUCUAGAGUAAGGUAGGGGUAACUGGAAUUCCUGGUGUAGCGGUGAAAUGCGUAGAUAUCAGGAGGAACACCUGCGGCGAAAGCGGGUUACUGGGCCUUCACUGACGCUGAGAUACGAAAGCUAGGGGAGCAAACAGGAUUAGAAACCCCGGUAGUCC
rnacentral:rRNA from 1 species